rnacentral:rRNA from 1 species
UCCAGACUCCUACGGGAGGCAGCAGUGGGGAAUAUUGCGCAAUGGGCGAAAGCCUGACGCAGCGACGCCGCGUGAGUGAAGAAGUAUUUCGGUAUGUAAAGCCCUCUCAGCAGGAAAGAAAAUGACGGUACCUGACUAAGAAGCCCCGGCUAACUACGUGCCAGCAGCCGCGGUAAUACGUAGGGGGCAAGCGUUAUCCGGAUUUACUGGGUGUAAAGGGAGCGUAGACGGCAGUGCAAGUCCGGAGUGAAAGCCCGGGGCUCAACCCUGGGACUGCUCUGGAAACUGUAAAGCUGGAGUGCGGGAGGGGCAGGCGGAAUUCCUGGUGUAGCGGUGAAAUGCGUAGAUAUCAGGAGGAACACCGGCGGCGAAGGCGGCCUGCUGGACCGUAACUGACGUUGAGGCUCGAAAGCGUGGGGAGCAAACAGGAUUAGAUACCCCCGUAAC